rnacentral:rRNA from 1 species
AACUGCACAAUGUGGGAAACCACGAUGCGGGAAACCCAAGUGCCAGCGCUAUGCGUUGGCUGUCCUCCAGUGUUCGUAACUGGGGAAGAAAGUGCUGGGUAAGACGGGUGCCAGCCGCCGCGGUAAUACCCGCAGCACAAGUGGUGGUCAUUAUUAUUGGGCCUAAAGCGUCCGUAGCUGGCUUGUUAGAUGCCUGGGUAAAUCGAUGCGCUCAACGUAUCGAACUCCGGGUAGACCGGCAAGCUUGGGACCGGGAGAGGCGUGAGCUACUCGAGGGGUAGGGGUAAAAUCCUGUAAUCCUUCGGGGAGGACCAGUGGCGAAGGCGUCACGCUAGAACGGCUCCGACAGUGAGGGACGAAGCCCUGGGGCGCAAACCGGAUUAGAUACCCGGGUAGUCCAGGGUGUAAACGCUGCAGACUUGGUGUCGGUGAUCCUACGAGGGUUGCCGGUGCCGUAGAGAAGUUGUUUAGUCUGCCGCCUGGGGAGUACGGUCGCAAGAC